AUGCAUAUGUCAUGUAUCACAAUUUUAGUUCUCCAAAAAAUAAUAUCAUUGUUGUUUACUCGCCUGGCUCUGGCGACUCAGGGGCGAAAACCUAGCGCCGCCACCACCCCUCCCCCCACCCCCUCCCAUCUCGCCGCUGCCAGAGGUUUCCGCCGGCAAAGCUCGCGCUGGACCCAGGGACGGCGGCGGCGGGGCGUCUCUCUCAAUCCAGGUAGCAGGGCUCGGCGACGCGAGGCCCUCUGCCGGCGGCGCAUCUGGCCGUGGUCGGUGGCGGUCUCAUCCGGCGCGAGCUGCCUCACGGUGGUGGUUGCGAGGCGGUGGCGGGCGGCUGUGCUGCGGCGGUGUGGCGGCCGGUGGACCUGGUGA
rnacentral:rRNA from 1 species